rnacentral:lncRNA from 1 species
AAGAAGAGAAAAUGGGAGAGGGAGAGAAAACAUACAAUUAUGUAUGUCUGGAGCACACCAUAUUAAAGGAGGGAGUGGCAGAAAACGUGAGGUGGGAAUCAAAUCAUGCUGGGCUUUUUGGCCAGCAAACUUGGAAAUCAUGUCUUAGAGAUCAAGGAGCCAAGAGAUGAGACAAGCCUGGGUUCCUAGGUGAUAGGGUGUGGCUGUGUCCCCACCCAAAUCUCGUCUUGAAUUGUAGCUCCCAUAAUCCCCACAUGUUGUGGAGGGACCCUGUGGAAGAUCUUUAAUAAAUGAAAUAAAUGUGACUGUAUGUCCUACAUCCCAUUCCUGUUGUCUUCCAUGUCUCCUCAGAGCAUCUACUUGUUUCCAAAGUUAUUUGGGUCAGCAUUUUCCUCCACCCACCACUUAAAACUGAUUUGUUUCAUACAUUUGAAAUGUAUGAAAAGCCAGAAAUCCAGGACCCACCCUGGCCUGCUCCCUUUUUCUCACCUACUGUGUUAAGGAUAAGUCAAUUGAGCUUCACUUCUCUAAUUGAAAUCACCGUGCUGAUGGAGUCUGUCUGUGGAAAUGAAAGGUGGCUACCAUAAUCUGUUGGGAGUUGAAUUAAUCCUCUGGGAGUGAGGCUGACCUAAUUACUCAGAAAUACUGGGCUUGCUUUCAUUCUGUGGAAUACAGCCAUGAGAAAGAGGCCAGCAUGCCAUUUCCUAAUCUUUUCUUGAAUUGCCUGAAACUCACCUAACAUGAAACUGAGAAGCCUUUUCAUUUGAAAGUGGUAUUUCUUAUGUUUUUUAUCUUUUUGCUUGAAAGUAUUCUUAAACUAAAGAAAGGAGAAACAGAAAAGGUGAAGAAGCCAAGAGGCUGGAGUUUCCUUUUGAAUGGAUAUUCAUCCAUGAAGCUGUUGAUUCUGUUUUUCUGUUCCUCCAGAUGUCUACACUUUUACCUCUGCUUGCCUGAUACAACCACCACCAGUCACCUCACAGAAUAACUCACUCCUUAAGAAUCUGAUCAGGAAUCAGCCUUCCCUGAUCACAAACACUGAGUUUAGAAGUCCCUCCACAGUGUCCCCCGUAACCCUGUGCUACCUCACUGCCUCAUAGUUUAGUGCCGUUUGUGUACAUGCCUAUCUUCGUCCAUGGAUCCAGAACAACUUGUAAAAAUGACUGUACUUAUCACCUUCAGUAUUCAAUGACUAAACUAUAAUUUUAACAUAUCUGGCAGAAUGAAUCACUUGGGGAUUUCUGCCAACACUACCAAUAUAUUACUCCUAAUUUGUAAUUAUUACUUAGCAUGGAUUAUAGUACCGGCUGUUGGAGAGCCAAUGUGGCAGACCCUAAGUGGAAUAAAAUGUCAGUAGCAGUCUAGGAGCAUAUAUUUAUUGGAAUAGAUCAUUCAUUCAUUUGUUCAUUAACUAAUUUGUUCAUUAAAUAAACAUUUAUUAAGCA